rnacentral:rRNA from 1 species
CAGUAGCGUAUAUUAAAGUUGUUGCAGUUAAAAAGCUCGUAGUUGAACCUUGGGUCUGGCUGGCCGGUCCGCUUCGCGGCGUGCACUGGUCUGGCUGGACCUUUCCUUCUGGGGAACCCUAUGGCCUUCACUGGCUGUAGGGGGAACCAGGACUUUUACUGUGAAAAAAUUAGAGUGUUCAAAGCAGGCCUUUGCUCGGAUACAUUAGCAUGGAAUAAUGGAAUAGGACGUGUGGUUCUAUUUUGUUGGUUUCUAGGACCGCCGUAAUGAUUAAUAGGGAUAGUCGGGGGCGUCAGUAUUCGGCUGUCAGAGGUGAAAUUCUUGGAUUUGCUGAAGACUAACUACUGCGAAAGCAUUCGCCAAGGAUGUUUUCAUUAAUCAGUGAACGAAAGUUAGGGGAUCGAAGACGAUCAGAUACCGUCGUAGUCUUAACCAUAAACUAUGCCGACUAGGGAUCGGACGGGCAACUUUGAAUAACCCGUUCGGCACCUUACGAGAAAUCAAAGUUUUUGGGUUCUGGGGGGAGUAUGGUCGCAAGGCUGAAACUUAAAGAAAUUGACGGAAGGGCACCACCAGGCGUGGAGCCUGCGGCUUAAUUUGACUCAACACGGGGAAACUCACCAGGUCCAGACAGAAUAAGGAUUGACAGAUUGAGAGCUCUUUCUUGAUCUUUUGGAUGGUGGUGCAUGGCCGUUCUUAGUUGGUGGAGUGAUUUGUCUGCUUAAUUGCGAUAACGAACGAGACCUUAACCUGCUAAAUAGCCCGACCCACGUCUGUGGGCCGCUGGCUUCUUAGAGGGACUAUCGGCUCAAG